GUCGAGGGGCAGCAUGAACUUAGCUUGCUAAGUUUGAUGGCGACCGGCGCACGGGUGAGUAACACGUAUCCAACCUGCCGAUGACUCGGGGAUAGCCUUUCGAAAGAAAGAUUAAUACCCGAUGGCAUAGUUCUUCCGCAUGGUAGAACUAUUAAAGAAUUUCGGUCAUCGAUGGGGAUGCGUUCCAUUAGGUUGUUGGCGGGGUAACGGCCCACCAAGCCUUCGAUGGAUAGGGGUUCUGAGAGGAAGGUCCCCCACAUUGGAACUGAGACACGGUCCAAACUCCUACGGGAGGCAGCAGUGAGGAAUAUUGGUCAAUGGACGAGAGUCUGAACCAGCCAAGUAGCGUGAAGGAUGACUGCCCUAUGGGUCGUAAACUUCUUUUAUACGGGAAUAAAGUGAGGCACGUGUGCCUUUUUGUAUGUACCGUAUGAAUAAGGAUCGGCUAACUCCGUGCCAGCAGCCGCGGUAAUACGGAGGAUCCGAGCGUUAUCCGGAUUUAUUGGGUUUAAAGGGAGCGUAGGCGGACGCUUAAGUCAGUUGUGAAAGUUUGCGGCUCAACCGUAAAAUUGCAGUUGAUACUGGGUGUCUUGAGUACAGUAGAGGCAGGCGGAAUUCGUGGUGUAGCGGUGAAAUGCUUAGAUAUCACGAAGAACUCCGAUUGCGAAGGCAGCCUGCGUGGACUGUAACUGACGCUGAUGCUCGAAAGUGUGGGUAUCAAACAGG
rnacentral:rRNA from 1 species